GUAGCGGCGAGUGAAGCGGCAAAAGCUCAAAUUUGAAAUCUGGCGUCUUUGGCGUCCGAGUUGUAAUUUGAAGAAGGUAUCUUUGGGCCCGGCUCUUGUCUAUGUUCCUUGGAACAGGACGUCACAGAGGGUGAGAAUCCCGUGCGAUGAGAUGACCCGGGUCUGUGUAAAGUUCCUUCGACGAGUCGAGUUGUUUGGGAAUGCAGCUCUAAGUGGGUGGUAAAUUCCAUCUAAAGCUAAAUAUUGGCGAGAGACCGAUAGCGAACAAGUACAGUGAUGGAAAGAUGAAAAGAACUUUGAAAAGAGAGUGAAAAAGUACGUGAAAUUGUUGAAAGGGAAGGGCUUGAGAUCAGACUUGGUAUUUUGCAUGUUGCUCUCUCGGGGGCGGCCGCUGCGGUUUACCGGGCCAGCAUCGGUUUGGAGCGGCAGGAUAAUGGCGGAGGAAUGUGGCACGGCUUCUGCUGUGUGUUAUAGCCUCUGACGAUACUGCCAGCCUAGACCGAGGACUGCGGUUUUUACCUAGGAUGUUGGCAUAAUGAUCUUAAGUCGCCCGUCU
rnacentral:rRNA from 1 species